rnacentral:tRNA from 1 species
UACUUUGAUAGAGUAAAUUAUAGAGGUCUAAACCCUCUUAUUUCUA